CAGGGUGAAGUUCGUGGGCAAAUCUAAAUCACUCAUCCAGUGAGGAUGAACAACUUACCAAACUAUCCUUUCCUUCGAUAUGUAAGGCAGACAAUAGGCGAGCAGUGAGUCUCUCGACAUGGACUCGUCCAGAAUUGGACUGGACUUCAUCGUCGAGAAUCCCGAUUAUAUAAGGAAGUUGGCCGCCGCUUUGGACACCCAGAAUGUGACCGUCAAGAAACAAGUGUUCGAGUUGCUCUCUGCCCUCUGCGUUCACAACGAAGAUGGCCGGGCCAGGGCACUUGACACCCUAGAUCAU